GGGCGGGGUGCUUACCUGCAGUCGAACGAUGAAGCCCUGCUUGCAGGGUGGAUUAGUGGCGAACGGGUGAGUAACACGUGAGUAACCUGCCCCUGACUCUGGGAUAAGCCCGGGAAACUGGGUCUAAUACCGGAUAUGACUUCCUACUGCAUGGUGGGUUGUUGAAAGAUUUAUCGGUGGGGGAUGGACUCGCGGCCUAUCAGCUUGUUGGUGAGGUAAUGGCUCACCAAGGCGACGACGGGUAGCCGGCCUGAGAGGGUGACCGGCCACACUGGGACUGAGACACGGCCCAGACUCCUACGGGAGGCAGCAGUGGGGAAUAUUGCACAAUGGGCGGAAGCCUGAUGCAGCGACGCCGCGUGAGGGAUGACGGCCUUCGGGUUGUAAACCUCUUUCAGUAGGGAAGAAGCGAAAGUGACGGUACCUGCAGAAGAAGCGCCGGCUAACUACGUGCCAGCAGCCGCGGUAAUACGUAGGGCGCAAGCGUUAUCCGGAUUUAUUGGGCGUAAAGAGCUCGUAGGCGGUUUGUCGCGUCUGCCGUGAAAGUCCGAGGCUCAACCUCGGAUCUGCGGUGGGUACGGGCAGACUAGAGUGAUGUAGGGGAGACUGGAAUUCCUGGUGUAGCGGUGAAAUGCGCAGAUAUCAGGAGGAACACCGAUGGCGAAGGCAGGUCUCUGGGCAUUUACUGACGCUGAGGAGCGAAAGCAUGGGGAGCGAACAGGAUUAGAUACCCUGGUAGUCCAUGCCGUAAACGUUGGGCACUAGGUGUGGGGGACAUUCCACGUUUUCCGCGCCGAAGCUAACGCAUUAAGUGCCCCGGCUGGGGAGGACGGUGCGGAAGG
rnacentral:rRNA from 1 species